UACGGAGGGUGCAAGCGUUAAUCGGAUUUACUGGGCGUAAAGCGCACGUAGGCGGUCUGUCAAGUCGGAUGUGAAAUCCCCGGGCUCAACCCGGGAACUGCAUUGGAAACUGGCAGACUAGAGUGCUGGAGAGGGGAGUGGAAUUCCAAGUGUAGCGGUGAAAUGCGUAGAUAUUGGGAGGAACACCGGUGGCGAAGGCGGCUCCCUGGAC
rnacentral:rRNA from 1 species